rnacentral:rRNA from 1 species
UUUGGAAACAAGUGCUAAUACCGUAUAACCAUGAUGACCGCAUGGUCAUGAUGUAAAAGGUGGUUUUGCUAUCGCUUUUGGAUGGACCCGCGGCGUAUUAACUAGUUGGUAAGGUAACGGCUUACCAAGGUGAUGAUACGUAGCCGAACUGAGAGGUUGAUCGGCCACAAUGGGACUGAGACACGGCCCAUACUCCUACGGGAGGCAGCAGUAGGGAAUCUUCCACAAUGGGCGCAAGCCUGAUGGAGCAACGCCGCGUGAAUGAAGAAGGUCUUCGGAUCGUAAAGUUCUGUUAUUAGAGAAGAACACGUGUAAGAGUAACUGAUUAUGCGUUGACGGUAUCUAAUCAGCAAGUCACGGCUAACUACGUGU